GACGAACCGUGCGAACGUUAUUCGGAAUCACUGGGCUUAAAGCGCGUGUAGGUGGGUGGGCACGUCGGACCCUGAAAGCCCCCGGCUCAACCGGGGAACUGGGGCCGAUACGACCUGUCUGGAGGGACGUAGGGGGACCUGGAACUUCCGGUGGAGCGGUGAAAUGCGUUGAGAUCGGAAGGAACGCCCGUGGCGAAAGCGAGGUCCUGGACGUCUGCUGACACUGAGACGCGAAAGCUAGGGUAGCGAACGGG
rnacentral:rRNA from 1 species